AACGCACCUUGCGCUCCUUGGUAUUCCGAGGAGCAUGCCUGUUUGAGUGUCAUUAAAUUCUCAACCUUUCCAGCUUUUGUGAGCUGUGAUAAGGCUUGGAUAUUGGGAGCUUGCGGGCCUGUAGAAGGUCGGCUCUCCUGAAAUGCAUUAGCGGAACCGUUUGCAGUCCCGUCACUAGUGUGAUAAUUAUCUACACUGUGAUGACUGCUCUCUAGUUUGUUCAGCUGCUAAUUGUCCAUUACUGGACAACUCUUAAUGAACCUCUUGACCUCAAAUCAGGUAGGACUACCCGCUGAACUUAA
rnacentral:misc_RNA from 1 species